UACGUAGGGGGCAAGCGUUGUCCGGAUUUACUGGGCGUAAAGAGCGUGUAGGCGGCCAAGCAGGUCCGUUGUGAAAACUCGAGGCUCAACCUCGAGACGUCGGCGGAAACCAUCUGGCUAGAGUCCGGAAGAGGAGAGUGGAAUUCCUGGUGUAGCGGUGAAAUGCGCAGAUAUCAGGAAGAACACCAAUGGCGAAGGCAGCUCUCUGGGACGGUACUGACGCUGAGACGCGAAAGCGUGGGGAGCGAACAGG
rnacentral:rRNA from 1 species